AGUGAACGCUGGCGGCAGGCCUAAUACAUGCAAGUCGAACGGCAGCACAGCAGAGCUUGCUCUGUGGGUGGCGAGUGGCGGACGGGUGAGGAAUACAUGGGAAUCUGCCCAGUCGUGGGGGAUAACGUAUGGAAACGUACGCUAAUACCGCAUGCGCCCUAAGGGGGAAAGCCGGGGACCGCAAGGCCUGGCGCGAUUGGAUGAGCCCAUGUUCGAUUAGCUAGUUGGCGGGGUAAAGGCCCACCAAGGCGACGAUCGAUAGCUGGUCUGAGAGGAUGAUCAGCCACACUGGAACUGAGACACGGUCCAGACUCCUACGGGAGGCAGCAGUAGGGAAUAUUGGACAAUGGGGGCAACCCUGAUCCAGCCAUGCCGCGUGAGUGAAGAAGGCCCUCGGGUUGUAAAGCUCUUUUGUCCGGAAAGAAAGCAAUCGGUUAAUACCCGGUUGUUCUGACGGUACCGGAAGAAUAAGCACCGGCUAACUUCG
rnacentral:rRNA from 1 species